UACCAGCACCCCGAGUGGUCGGGACGUUUUAUUGGCCUAAAGCAUCCGUAGCCGGUUCUACAAGUCUUCCGUUAAAUCCACCUGACUUUAACAGAUGGGCCUGACGGAAGAUACUAUGGAGCUAGGAGGCGGGAGAGGCAAGCGGUAGCUCGAUGGGAUAGGGUAAAAUCCGUUGAUCCAUUGAAGACCACCAGUGGCGAAGGCGGCUUGCCAGAACGCGC
rnacentral:rRNA from 1 species